rnacentral:rRNA from 1 species
UGCCAGCCGCCGCGGUAAUACGAAGGGACCUAGCGUAGUUCGGAAUUACAGGGCUUAAAGAGCUCGUAGGUGGUUAAAAAAGUUGGUGGUGAAAUCCCAGAGCUUAACUCUGGAACUGCCAUCAAAACUUUUUAGCUAGAGUAUGAUAGAGGAAAGCAGAAUUUCUAGUGUAGAGGUGAAAUUCGUAGAUAUUAGAAAGAAUACCGAUUGCGAAGGCAGCUUUCUGGAUCAUUACUGACACUGAGGAACGAAAGCAUGGGUAGCGAACAGGAUUAGAUA